GACGUAGGAGGCGAGCGUUGUCCGGAUUCAUUGGGCGUAAAGAGCACGCAGGCGGUUUGGCAAGUCGGAUGUGAAAGCCCGGAGCUCAACUCCGGACCUGCAUCCGAAACUGCCCGACUAGAGGUAGGUAGGGGAGAUCGGAAUUCCUGGUGUAGCGGUGAAAUGCGCAGAUAUCAGGAGGAACACCGGUGGCGAAGGCGGGACUCUGGGCCGAUACUGACGCUGAGGAGCGAAAGCGUGGGGAGCGAACAGG
rnacentral:rRNA from 1 species